CCUAGUUGCCAGCAUUCAGUUGGGCACGUCUAAGGUGGACGUGCCGGCUAAAAGUCGGAGGAAGGUGGGGAUGACGUCAAAUCAUCAUGCCCCUUAUGACCUGGGCUACACACGUGCUACAAUGGGCGGUACAAAGGGUCGCGAACCCGCGAGGGGGAGCCAAUCCCAAAAAGCCGCUCUCAGUUCGGAUUGCAGGCUGCAACUCGCCUGCAUGAAGCCGGAAUCGCUAGUAAUCGCGGAUCAGCACGCCGCGGUGAAUACGUUCCCGGGCCUU
rnacentral:rRNA from 1 species